rnacentral:tRNA from 1 species
UGGCUCAGUGGUAGAGCGCUUGCCUUGCAUGCAGGAGGCCUUGGGUUCAAUUCCUCA